rnacentral:rRNA from 1 species
GUCGAGCGGACUUGCUGGAGCUUGCUCCAGCAGGUUAGCGGCGGACGGGUGAGUAACACGUGGGCAACCUGCCUGUAAGACUGGGAUAACUCCGGGAAACCGGAGCUAAUACCGGAUAGUAUCUUGAACCGCAUGGUUCAAGUUGGAAAGACGGUUUCGGCUGUCACUUACAGAUGGGCCCGCGGCGCAUUAGCUAGUUGGUGAGGUAAUGGCUCACCAAGGCAACGAUGCGUAGCCGACCUGAGAGGGUGAUCGGCCACACUGGGACUGAGACACGGCCCAGACUCCUACGGGAGGCAGCAGUAGGGAAUCUUCCGCAAUGGACGAAAGUCUGACGGAGCAACGCCGCGUGAGUGAUGAAGGUUUUCGGAUCGUAAAACUCUGUUGUUAGGGAAGAACAAGUGCGAGAGUAACUGCUCGCACCUUGACGGUACCUAACCAGAAAGCCACGGCUAACUACGUGCCAGCAGCCGCGGUAAUACGUAGGUGGCAAGCGUUGUCCGGAAUUAUUGGGCGUAAAGCGCGCGCAGGCGGUUUCUUAAGUCUGAUGUGAAAGCCCCCGGCUCAACCGGGGAGGGUCAUUGGAAACUGGGAAACUUGAGUGCAGAAGAGGAGAGUGGAAUUCCACGUGUAGCGGUGAAAUGCGUAGAGAUGUGGAGGAACACCAGUGGCGAAGGCGACUCUCUGGUCUGUAACUGACGCUGAGGCGCGAAAGCGUGGGGAGCGAACAGGAUUAGAUACCCUGGUAGUCCACGCCGUAAACGAUGAGUGCUAAGUGUUAGAGGGUUUCCGCCCUUUAGUGCUGCAGCUAACGCAUUAAGCACUCCGCCUGGGGAGUACGGUCGCAAGACUGAAACUCAAAGGAAUUGACGGGGGCCCGCACAAGCGGUGGAGCAUGUGGUUUAAUUCGAAGCAACGCGAAGAACCUUACCAGGUCUUGACAUCCUUUGCCACUUCUAGAGAUAGAAGGUUCCCCUUCGGGGGACAAAGUGACAGGUGGUGCAUGGUUGUCGUCAGCUCGUGUCGUGAGAUGUUGGGUUAAGUCCCGCAACGAGCGCAACCCUUGAUCUUAGUUGCCAGCAUUCAGUUGGGCAC